UACGGAGGGUGCAAGCGUUAUCCGGAUUCACUGGGUUUAAAGGGUGCGUAGGUGGGCAGGUAAGUCAGUGGUGAAAUCUCCGGGCUUAACCCGGAAACUGCCAUUGAUACUAUCUGUCUUGAAUACCGUGGAGGUGAGCGGAAUAUGUCAUGUAGCGGUGAAAUGCUUAGAUAUCAGGAAGAACACCCGUGGCGAAGGCGGCUCUCUGGGACGGUACUGACGCUGAGACGCGAAAGCGUGGGGAGCGAACAGG
rnacentral:rRNA from 1 species